rnacentral:lncRNA from 1 species
GUUUAUUCUGUUUAUUUUGGAGCCUUUUGAGGAAGGAAGUUAUAAACUCUGACUCAUGGACUCGCCUUUGGGCGGUGGAUCCUGUGCUGGGUGAAGAGCUCUUGGAUAGGACAGAGUUCGGUGACCAGUUGCUGAUGGUGUUUGGCUCCUUGGUGUCUCUCUGGGUAUACCCUUGUCCACCUAGCCCAGGAUUUGCAAAUCAGACACCCUGCUGUUGUCAUCAUGUGCUAGUCUGAGUUUACAUACCCACUUUUGAGAGGAAGAUAAGAGGUCCUCAGUUUUUCUCCUUUUGUGGCUUUCCUCUGUGUCUGGGGAACCAGGCUGUCUGAUCAUGGAGAGGCUCUGGGACCCAAAGACUGACCUGCCUACUUGACGCCAUCAGCAGGCUCUGUAACAACCUUUGAUCAGAGCAUCAAACUGCGUUUCUUUCAUCAACCCAGAGGCUCCCUAAUGCUGGGGUCCACCUCUCUGUCAAACUGGGUAUACCCACGACUGUGACGACAACUUCCACACUAAACAAAGGAGACUGCCUCUCUCCAUCUCUUCUGGAACCAGAUGGACACACAGACAUGUGUGACGUAGGGAGACAUUUUCUGAACCUUGGAGCUUGGAUAUCAUCUCUCUGUAAGAGAUCAGUGUUGUCAGUAUUUCAUGGAAUCUACAUAGGUGAAUGAGUCAACUGGAGAUCUUUCACGUCACAGAGCAAACACCCUCUGAGCAAUAAUAAUAAGUGUGGGUCCAGAAAAUGGGAGUACUGGAAUUGCUGGGCUCAAGAACUGAUCACACACAGGAGUCCAUUUCAGAAGAUUGGCAAGUCUAAAGGGAAGUCAAGUCCAGUUAUCUACUGGAAGCUCAAAGUGGAAACUCAAGCACCAAGCAUGGCACUGUGGGUACUAACAUGGCUGUGGUAGGAAGAGGAUGGGGCCAGUGCCCAUAGCAAGGACAAUAAUUCUAAACAGAAAAAAACUCCUUAACUAUACAGCAAUAGUAAAUAAACUAAAAUAGUUAUAUUACAAUGACUUGUAACCAGUAAUAUUUAUCUCAUUGUUUC